GAUGAACGCUGGCGGCGUGCCUAAUACAUGCAAGUCGAGCGAACAGACGAGGAGCUUGCUCCUCUGACGUUAGCGGCGGACGGGUGAGUAACACGUGGAUAACCUACCUAUAAGACUGGGAUAACUUCGGGAAACCGGAGCUAAUACCGGAUAAUAUAUUGAACCGCAUGGUUCAAUAGUGAAAGACGGUUUUGCUGUCACUUAUAGAUGGAUCCGCGCCGCAUUAGCUAGUUGGUAAGGUAACGGCUUACCAAGGCAACGAUGCGUAGCCGACCUGAGAGAGUGAUCGGCCACACGGGAACGUAGACACGGUCCAGACGCCUACGGGACGCAGCAGUAGGGAAUCUUACGCAAUGGGCGAAAGCCUGACGGAGCAACGCCGCGUGAGUGAUGAAGGUCUUCGGAUCGUAAAACCCUGUUAUUAGGGAAGAACAAAUGUGUAAGUAACUAUGCACGUCUUGACGGUACCUAAUCAGAAAGCCACGGCUAACUACGUG
rnacentral:rRNA from 1 species